AUAUUCGAAUAUGACUACAAUGAUAUUCAACAGUAGUCAUAUUCGAAAAAUACAUAAAUAUGACUAUAGUCAUGUUGCUGCUACUGUACAUAUUUGAACUGUAUUUUCAGAUUUGGAAAAAAAGAAAAAAGAAGGAGAAAUUGAAAAAUACAUAAAUAAAAAAAUUGAUAAAAAAUCAUUAUAUACAUAUAUAUCGACUCCACUAACUCAAGUAUGAUGAUAGGCUCCCUCUCUCUCUCUAAUAUUUAAACACACACAGUCACAAUGAAAAAACCUUAAAUGCCAAAAGUAAUCAUGAGUUGCUGAGAAACUUCCAAGAACACGAAAACAGAAAGUAGCAAAAAAAAUCGAAUAGUCACAUUCGAACCAGACUGUAGUCACGUUGAUGUUGCUGCUUCAGAUCUGGGG